GAUGAACGCUGGCGGCGUGCUUAACACAUGCAAGUCGAGCGAAGCACUUUACUUAGAUUUCUUCGGGAUGAAGAGUUUUGUGACUGAGCGGCGGACGGGUGAGUAACGCGUGGGUAACCUGCCUCAUACAGGGGGAUAACAGUUAGAAACGACUGCUAAUACCGCAUAAGACCACAGCACCGCAUGGUGCAGGGGUAAAAACUCCGGUGGUAUGAGAUGGACCCGCGUCUGAUUAGCUGGUUGGUGGGGUAACGGCCUACCAAGGCAACGAUCAGUCACCGGCCUGAGAGGGCGACCGGCGACAUUGGGACUGAGACACGGACCGAAGUCCUACGGGAGGCAGCAGUGGGGAAUAUUGCACAAUGGGGGAGACCCUGAUGCAGCGACGCCGCGUGAAGGAAGAAGUAUUUCGGUAUGUAAACUUCUAUCAGCAGGGAAGAAAAUGACGGUACCUGACUAAGAAGCCCCGGCUAACUACGUGCCAGCAGCCGCGGUAA
rnacentral:rRNA from 1 species